UACGAAGGGUGCAAGCGUUACUCGGAAUUACUGGGCGUAAAGCGUGCGUAGGUGGUUCGUUAAGUCUGAUGUGAAAGCCCUGGGCUCAACCUGGGAAUGGCAUUGGAAACUGGCGACCUAGAGUGCGGUAGAGGGCAGUGGAAUUCCCGGUGUAGCAGUGAAAUGCGUAGAGAUCGGGGAGGAACAUCUGUGGCGAAGGCGACUGCCUGGACCAGCACUGACACUGAGGCACGAAAGCGUGGGGAGCAAACAGG
rnacentral:rRNA from 1 species